rnacentral:rRNA from 1 species
UACGAAGGGGGCUAGCGUUGCUCGGAAUCACUGGGCGUGAAGGGUGCGUAGGCGGGUUUUUAAGUCAGGGGUGAAAUCCUGGAGCUCAACUCCAGAACUGCCUUUGAUACUGAAGAUCUUGAGUCCGGGAGAGGUGAGUGGAACUGCGAGUGUAGAGGUGAAAUUCGUAGAUAUUCGCAAGAACACCGGUGGCGAAGGCGGCAUCCUGGACCAACACUGACGCUGAGGAGCGAAAGCCAGGGGAGCAAACGGG